CCGACACACGUGCUACAAUGGCGUAAACAAAGGGAAGCGAAACCGCGAGGUCAAGCAAAUCCCAAAAAUAACGUCCCAGUUCGGACUGUAGUCUGCAACCCGACUACACGAAGCCGGAAUCGCUAGUAAUCGCGAAUCAGAAUGUCGCGGUGAAUACGUUCCCGGGUCUUGUACACACCGCCCGUCAAGCCAUGGAAGCCGGGAGUGCCUGAAGUAUGCAACCGCAAGGAGCGUCCUAAGGUAAAACCGGUGACUGGGGCUAAGUCGUAACAAGGUACC
rnacentral:rRNA from 1 species